UACGUAGGGUGCAAGCGUUGUCCGGAAUUAUUGGGCGUAAAGAGCUCGUAGGCGGUUCGUCACGUCGGCUGUGAAAACCUGAGGCUCAACCUCAGGCCUGCAGUCGAUACGGGCGGACUCGAGUUCGGCAGGGGAGACUGGAAUUCCUGGUGUAGCGGUGAAAUGCGCAGAUAUCAGGAGGAACACCGGUGGCGAAGGCGGGUCUCUGGGCCGAAAUUGACGCUGAGGAGCGAAAGCGUGGGGAGCAAACA
rnacentral:rRNA from 1 species